UACGUAGGGUGCAAGCGUUGUCCGGAAUUAUUGGGCGUAAAGAGCUCGUAGGCGGUUUGUCGCGUCUGCUGUGAAAACCCGAGGCUCAACCUCGGGCCUGCAGUGGGUACGGGCAGACUAGAGUGCGGUAGGGGAGAUUGGAAUUCCUGGUGUAGCGGUGGAAUGCGCAGAUAUCAGGAGGAACACCGGUGGCGAAGGCGGGUCUCUGGGCAGUAACUGACGCUGAGGAGCGAAAGCAUGGGGAGCGAACAGG
rnacentral:rRNA from 1 species